CCCCUUAGCGCCGAUCUCAGCCCCCAUCACCCAACUCCACACGCCGCACCCAGUCAUCCGCCUCCGCCCAUCGCCUCCAUCUCCUCUCCCAUCGCCGGCCCAGACCCGCCAAGCCGCCAUCACCACCAGCCCGAACUCCUCCGAGUCUCCCCUUGUACGCUUCACCCAUGUUGCUCUCUAUCAUUAUUUCUACCUUUUCUCAUUCGUCGCCUUCUUCGCUACUUCCAGCAAAUUCAGCCAAAGUUUUCACUUUUCCUUCCUUUAUCAGCUCUCCUCGCUUCCCUGUGGCCGCUGAAAACCUUCACAACUUUCAAGGAGCUUUCUCUUCCUAAUCCAUGGAGGUGACCGAAGAGAUGAUGAGCAAAUAACACAUGAAAAGUAUGUUAAAGACUAUCCAGAUGAAAAAAAUAGGGCCCCUAAAAUCUCAGAACCGGCCCUGGUCUCGAUGCAAAAAUAAAUAAGUUUUUUAAUAUUAUGAGUUAUCCAGUACACCCUUCCAUUGAAUAUUCUUUUAUGAGAAAACAACUUUUAACUAAUUAAGAACUUACAUUUUCAUCCUAACCUUCACAGAAUGUAAUAAAGUAAGUCUAUGUAUUUUUUUAUGUUCAUUAGAGUUUUUUUUUUUUUAACUAUGCACGUUUACUAUUGUUUUAAGGGUAAAUUUCACAUAGUACCCCUCUCCUUUUAAAUUUUAAUUUUUUCCCCCUCCUCCUCCUCGCAUGACCGCGCGCC